rnacentral:rRNA from 1 species
UACGUAGGUGGCAAGCGUUGUCCGGAAUUGUUGGGCGUAAAGCGCGCGCAGGCGGUCCUUUAAGUCUGAUGUGAAAGCCCACGGCUCAACCGUGGAGGGUCAUUGGAAACUGGGGGACUUGAGUACAGAAGAGAAGAGUGGAAUUCCACGUGUAGCGGUGAAAUGCGUAGAGAUGUGGAGGAACACCAGUGGCGAAGGCGACUCUGUGGUCUGUAACUGACGCUGAGGCGCGAAAGCGUGGGGAGCAAACAGG